rnacentral:rRNA from 1 species
UAGAGUUUGAUCCUGGCUCAGAACGAACGCUGGCGGCAGGCUUAACACAUGCAAGUCGAACGCACCUUUCGGGGUGAGUGGCAGACGGGUGAGUAACGCGUGGGAACGUGCCCUUCAGUUCGGAAUAACCCAGGGAAACUUGGGUUAAUACCGGAUACGUGCGAGAGCAGAAAGAUUUAUCGCUGAAGGAUCGGCCCGCGUCUGAUUAGCUGGUUGGUGAGGUAAUGGCUCACCAAGGCGACGAUCAGUAGCUGGUCUGAGAGGAUGAUCAGCCACAUUGGGACUGAGACGCGGCCCAAACUCCUACGGGAGGCAGCAGUGGGGAAUAUUGGACAAUGGGCGCAAGCCUGAUCCAGCCAUGCCGCGUGAGUGAUGAAGGCCUUAGGGUUGUAAAGCUCUUUCGUCCGGGACGAUAAUGACGGUACCGGAAGAAGAAGCCCCGGCUAACUUCGUGCCAGCAGCCGCGGUAAUACGAAGGGGGCUAGCGUUGUUCGGAAUCACUGGGCGUAAAAGGCGCGUAGGCGGCUUUAUAAGUCGGGGGUGAAAGCCUGUGGCUCAACCACAGAAUUGCCUUCGAUACUGUAGAGCUUGAGACCGGAAGAGGUUAGUGGAACUGCGAGUGUAGAGGUGAAAUUCGUAGAUAUUCGCAAGAACACCAGUGGCGAAGGCGGCUGACUGGUCCGGAUCUGACGCUGAGGCGCGAAAGCGUGGGGAGCAAACAGGAUUAGAUACCCUGGUAGUCCACGCCGUAACGAUGAAUGCCAGCCGUUGGGCAGCUUGCUGCUCAGUGGCGCAGCUAACGCUUUAAGCAUUCCGCCUGGG